GGAUUAGAUACCCUGGUAGUCCACGCCCUAAACGAUGAACACUAGUUGUUGGGAGGUUUCGAUCUUUCAGUAACACAGCUAACGCAUUAAGUGUUCCGCCUGGGGAGUACGGUCGCAAGAUUAAAACUCAAAGGAAUAGACGGGGACCCGCACAAGCGGUGGAGCAUGUGGUUUAAUUCGAAGAUACGCGAAGAACCUUACCAAGGCUUGAUAUCCUAAAAAUUUGCUGGAAACAGUGAAGUGCCAGUUUCUGGAAUUUAGUGACAGGUGCUGCACGGCUGUCGUCAGCUCGUGCCG
rnacentral:rRNA from 1 species